AGUCGAGGGGUAUGGCAGCAAUGCCAGAGACCGGCGCACGGGUGCGUAACGCGUAUGCAAUCUGCCUUUCACAGAGGGAUAGCCCAGAGAAAUUUGGAUUAAUACCUCAUAGCAUAAUGAGUUGGCAUCAACACAUUAUUAAAGUCACAACGGUGAAAGAUGAGCAUGCGUCCCAUUAGCUAGUUGGUAAGGUAACGGCUUACCAAGGCGACGAUGGGUAGGGGUCCUGAGAGGGAGAUCCCCCACACUGGUACUGAGACACGGACCAGACUCCUACGGGAGGCAGCAGUGAGGAAUAUUGGUCAAUGGGCGCAAGCCUGAACCAGCCAUGCCGCGUGCAGGAUGACGGUCCUAUGGAUUGUAAACUGCUUUUGUACGGGAAGAAACAGCGAUUCGUGAAUCGCCUUGACGGUACCGUAAGAAUAAGGAUCGGCUAACUCCGUGCCAGCAGCCGCGGUAAUACGGAGGAUCCAAGCGUUAUCCGGAAUCAUUGGGUUUAAAGGGUCCGUAGGCGGUUUUGUAAGUCAGUGGUGAAAGCCCAUCGCUCAACGGUGGAACGGCCAUUGAUACUGCAAGACUUGAAUUAUUAGGAAGUAACUAGAAUAUGUAGUGUAGCGGUGAAAUGCUUAGAGAUUACAUGGAAUACCAAUUGCGAAGGCAGGUUACUACUAAUGGAUUGACGCUGAUGGACGAAAGCGUGGGUAGCGAACAGGAUUAGAUACCCUGGUAGUCCACGCCGUANACGAUGGAUACUAGCUGUUGGGAGCGAUCUCAGUGGCUAAGCGAAAGUGAUAAGUAUCCCACCUGGGGAGUACGUUCGCAAGAAUGAAAC
rnacentral:rRNA from 1 species